rnacentral:rRNA from 1 species
AUUGAACGCUGGCGGCAGGCCUAACACAUGCAAGUCGAACGGUAACAGGAAGAAGCUUGCUUCUUUGCUGACGAGUGGCGGACGGGUGAGUAAUGUCUGGGAAACUGCCUGAUGGAGGGGGAUAACUACUGGAAACGGUAGCUAAUACCGCAUAACGUCGCAAGCCCAAAGAGGGGGACCUUCGGGCCUCUUGCCAUCGGAUGUGCCCAGAUGGGAUUAGCUAGUAGGUGGGGUAACGGCUCACCUAGGCGACGAUCCCUAGCUGGUCUGAGGGGAUGACCGGCCACACUGGAACUGAGACACGGUCCAGAGUCCUACGGGAGGCAGCAGUGGGGAAUAUUGCACAAUGGGCGCAAGCCUGAUGCAGCCAUGCCGCGUGUAUGAAGAAGGCCUUCGGGUUGUAAAGUACUUUCAGCGGGGAGGAAGGGAGUAAAGUUAAUACCUUUGCUCAUUGACGUUACCCGCAGAAGAAGCACCGGCUAACUCCGUG